rnacentral:rRNA from 1 species
GAUGAACGCUGGCGGCGUGCCUAAUACAUGCAAGUCGAGCGAACAGACGAGGAGCUUGCUCCUCUUACGUUAGCGGCGGACGGGUGAGUAACACGUGGAUAACCUACCUAUAAGACUGGGAUAACUUCGGGAAACCGGAGCUAAUACCGGAUAAUAUAUUGAACCGCAUGGUUCAAUAGUGAAAGACGGUUUUGCUGUCACUUAUAGAUGGAUCCGCGCCGCAUUAGCUAGUUGGUAAGGUAACGGCUUACCAAGGCAACGAUGCGUAGCCGACCUGAGAGGGUGAUCGGCCACACUGGAACUGAGACACGGUCCAGACUCCUACGGGAGGCAGCAGUAGGGAAUCUUCCGCAAUGGGCGAAAGCCUGACGGAGCAACGCCGCGUGAGUGAUGAAGGUCUUCGGAUCGUAAAGCUCUGUUAUUAGGGAAGAACAAAUGUGUAAGUAACUAUGCACGUCUUGACGGUACCUAAUCAGAAAGCCACGGCUAACUACGUG